ensembl:snRNA U6 U6 spliceosomal RNA
GUGCUGUCUUCGGCGGCACAUAUGUGAAAAUUGGAAUAAAAUAGAGAAGGUUAGCAUGGCCCCUGCACAAGAAUGACAGGCAAAUUCAUGAAGUGUUCCUUGUUAAA